rnacentral:rRNA from 1 species
AGGUGCAUGCGAAGACGCAAGUCGCUGUAUAUGCACUGACGCCUGCCCGGUGCCGGAAGGUUAAGAGGAUCCGUCAUGCUUUUGCGGAAGCGGUGAAUUCAAGCCCCGGUAAACGGCGGUGGUAACUAUAACCAUCCUAAGGUAGCGAAAUUCCUUGUCGGGUAAGUUCCGACCUGCACGAAUGGCGUAACGACUUCCCCACUGUCUCGACCAGGAGCUCGGCGAAAUUGCAGUACGAGUAAAGAUGCUCGUUAAGCGCAGAAGGACGAAAAGACCCCGGGACCUUUACUAUACCUUGGUAUUGGCAUUCGGUGUGGAUUGUGUAGCAUAGGCGGGAGACUUCGAGGCGCGGCCGCCAGACCGCGCGGAGUCGCAAGGUGAAAUACCGCUCUGUUCGCAUUGGAUGUCUAACCACGACCAGUCAUCCUGGUCUGGGACAGUGC